AAGGAGUCUAACAUGUAUGCGAGUAUUUGGGUGGCAAACCCUAGAUCGCAAUUAAAGUGAAAGGAGGUGGGAUCCGCAAGUGGCAGCAUCGACCGAUCUGGAUCUUUUGUGAUGGAUUUGAGUAAGAGCAUAUAUGUUGGGACCCGAAAGAUGGUGAACUAUGCCUGAAUAGGGUGAAGCCAGAGGAAACUCUGGUGGAGGCUCGUAGCGAUUCUGACGUGCAAAUCGAUCGUCAAAUUUGGGUAUAGGGGCGAAAGACUAAUCGAACCAUCUAGUAGCUGGUUCCUGC
rnacentral:misc_RNA from 1 species